rnacentral:rRNA from 1 species
AUGAGGCCGCCGGAAGUGGCGCUCGCCGCGGCCUUGGUGGCGCUCGCGGCGGUGUUCGGUGGGGCGGCGGCGGCGUUCCCGGCGGCGCUGACGCUGGAGCGCGCGCUGCCGCACAGGGGGGUGCCGGCGGAGCACCUGAGGGAGCGGGACAGGGCAAGGCACAAAGGGAGGGGGCUGCUCGGGGGCGGGCCCGCGGUCGCCGGCGUCGUCGACUUCCCCGUCGAAGGCUCCGCCAACCCCUACAUGGUCGGGCUCUAUUUUACACGUGUAAAAUUGGGAAACCCUGCAAAGGAAUACUUUGUCCAAAUUGACACCGGCAGUGAUAUCUUGUGGGUUGCUUGCAGCCCUUGCACAGGUUGCCCGACAUCUAGUGGGCUCAAUAUCCAAUUGGAAUUCUUCAACCCUGAUUCUUCAUCAACAUCAUCCAGGAUACCAUGCUCAGAUGAUAGGUGUACAGCUGCCCUCCAGACAGGGGAAGCACUCUGCCAACCCUCGGACUCCCCAAGCAGUCCAUGCGGUUACACUUUCACGUAUGGUGAUGGAAGUGGCACGUCAGGAUACUAUGUGUCCGACACUAUGUAUUUCGACACUGUCAUGGGGAAUGAGCAGACUGCCAAUUCUUCUGCGUCCGUCGUUUUUGGAUGUAGCAACUCACAGUCAGGUGACCUGAUGAAGACAGAUAGGGCAGUUGAUGGAAUUUUUGGGUUUGGACAGCAUGAGCUGUCUGUCAUUUCACAACUGUACUCUCUUGGUGUAUCCCCUAAAACAUUCUCCCAUUGCCUGAAAGGUUCAGAUAAUGGUGGUGGUAUUCUUGUCCUUGGUGAAAUCGUUGAACCAGGAUUAGUAUUUACUCCACUUGUUCCAUCACAGCCUCAUUAUAACUUGUAUCUGGAAAGCAUUGCUGUUAGUGGUCAAAAGCUGCCCAUUGAUUCUUCCUUGUUUGCAACAUCAAAUACACAAGGAACAAUUGUGGAUUCAGGAACGACAUUAGUAUACCUUGUCGAUGGUGCCUAUGAUCCAUUUAUUAGCGCGAUAGCUGCCGCAGUCUCUCCAUCUGUACGCUCUGUUGUCAGCAAGGGGACACAAUGUUUUGUUACGAGCGGCAGUGUUGAUUCGUCAUUUCCUACGGCAACACUGUAUUUUAAAGGUGGUGUUGCAAUGACAGUGAAGCCAGAGAACUAUCUUCUGCAGCAGGCUACCAGUGAUAAUAAUGUAUUGUGGUGCAUUGGCUGGCAAAGGAGCCAGGGAAUCACUAUACUUGGAGAUCUUGUUUUGAAGGAAAAGAUAUUCGUGUAUGACUUGGGAAACAUGCGCAUGGGCUGGGCGGACUACGACUGUUCGUUGUCGGUCAACGUCACCUCCUCAUCGGGGAAGAACCAGUACGUGAACACGGGGCAGUUCGACGUGAACGGGUCACCGCGACACUAUAGCGGCCUGGUGCCUACCGGUGUCGCCGUCGCCCUUGUGCAUAUGCUCAUUUUUGGCGCCAUAUUUAGUAGAUAG